rnacentral:rRNA from 1 species
UACGGAGGAUCCGAGCGUUAUCCGGAUUUAUUGGGUUUAAAAGGGUGCGCAGGCGGGAGAUUAAGUCGGCGGUGAAAUUUUGCAGCUCAACUGUAAAAGUGCCUUCGAAACUGGUUUCCUUGAGUGUAGAUGAAGUAGGCGGAAUUUGUGGUGUAGCGGUGAAAUGCAUAGAUAUCACGAGGAACUCCGAUUGCGCAGGCAGCUUACUAAACCAUAACUGACGCUCAUGCACGAAGGCGUGGGGAUCAAACAGGAUUAGAUACCCU